rnacentral:rRNA from 1 species
GAUGAACGCUGGCGGCGUGCCUAAUACAUGCAAGUCGAGCGAACGGACGAGAAGCUUGCUUCUCUGAUGUUAGCGGCGGACGGGUGAGUAACACGUGGAUAACCUACCUAUAAGACUGGGAUAACUUCGGGAAACCGGAGCUAAUACUGGAUAAUAUUUUGAACCGCAUGGUUCAAAAGUGAAAGACGGCUUUGCUGUCACUUAUAGAUGGAUCCGCGCUGCAUUAGCUAGUUGGUAAGGUAACGGCUUACCAAGGCAACGAUGCAUAGCCGACCUGAGAGGAUGAUCGGCCACACUGGAACUGAGACACGGUCCAGACUCCUACGGGAGGCAGCAGUAGGGAAUCUUCCGCAAUGGGCGAAAGCCUGACGGAGCAACGCCGCGUGAGUGAUGAAGGUCUUCGGAUCGUAAAACUCUGUUAUUAGGGAAGAACAUAUGUGUAAGUAACUGUGCACAUCUUGACGGUACCUAAUCAGAAAGCCACGGCUAACUACGUG